rnacentral:rRNA from 1 species
CAGCAGCCACGGGAAUACGUAGGUGGCAAGCGUUGUCCGGAAUUAUUGGGCGUAAAGGGCUCGCAGGCGGUUUCUUAAGUCUGAUGUGAAAGCCCCCGGCUCAACCGGGGAGGGUCAUUGGAAACUGGGAAACUUGAGUGCAGAAGAGGAGAGUGGAAUUCCACGUGUAGCGGUGAAAUGCGUAGAGAUGUGGAGGAACACCAGUGGCGAAGGCGACUCUCUGGUCUGUAACUGACGCUGAGGAGCGAGAGCGUGGGGAGCGAACAGGAUUAGAUACCCCGGUAGUCCCUGUCUCUUAUAA